rnacentral:rRNA from 1 species
ACUCCUACGGGAGGCAGCAGUGAGGAAUAUUGGUCAAUGGGCGAGAGCCUGAACCAGCCAAGUCGCGUGAAGGAAGAAGGAUCUAUGGUUCGUAAACUUCUUUUUUAAGGGAAUAAAGUGAGCCACGUGUGGCUUUUUGCAUGUACCUUACGAAUAAGGAUCGGCUAACUCCGUGCCAGCAGCCGCGGUAAUACGGAGGAUCCGAGCGUUAUCCGGAUUUAUUGGGUUUAAAGGGUGCGCAGGCGGGAUAUUAAGUCGGCGGUGAAAGUUUGCAGCUUAACUGUAAAAUUGCCGUUGAUACUGGUAUCCUUGAGUGUAUAUGAAGUAGGCGGAAUUUGUAGUGUAGCGGUGAAAUGCAUAGAUAUUACAAGGAACUCCGAUUGCGAAGGCAGCUUACUAAAAUACAACUGACGCUUAGGCACGAAGGCGUGGGGAUCAAACAGGAUUAGAUACCCUGGUAGUC